GGUAACCUGCCCAGAAGUAGGGGAUAACACCUGGAAACAGAUGCUAAUACCGUAUAACAGAGAAAACCGCAUGGUUUUCUUUUAAAAGAUGGCUCUGCUAUCACUUCUGGAUGGACCCGCGGCGUAUUAGCUAGUUGGUGAGGUAAAGGCUCACCAAGGCAGUGAUACGUAGCCGACCUGAGAGGGUAAUCGGCCACAUUGGGACUGAGACACGGCCCAGACUCCUACGGGAGGCAGCAGUAGGGAAUCUUCCACAAUGGACGCAAGUCUGAUGGAGCAACGCCGCGUGAGUGAAGAAGGGUUUCGGCUCGUAAAGCUCUGUUGUUAAAGAAGAACGUGGGUAAGAGUAACUGUUUACCCAGUGACGGUAUUUAACCAGAAAGCCACGGCUAACUACGUGCCAGCAGCCGCGGUAAUACGUAGGUGGCAAGCGUUAUCCGGAUUUAUUGGGCGUAAAGCGAGCGCAGGCGGUCUUUUAAGUCUAAUGUGAAAGCCUUCGGCUCAACCGAAGAAGUGCAUUGGAAACUGGGAGACUUGAGUGCAGAAGAGGACAGUGGAACUCCAUGUGUAGCGGUGAAAUGCGUAGAUAUAUGGAAGACACCAGUGGCGAAGCGGCUGUCUGGUCUGCAACUGACGCUGAGGCUCGAAAGCAUGGGUAGCGAACAGGAUUAGAUACCCUGGUAGUCCAUGCCGUA
rnacentral:rRNA from 1 species